CUCUCCCACCGAUUUCCCUGCAGGCCCGCUGUGGGCGGAGCUACUGCACCCGUACAGGCACAGGCCAGCGCUUCUCCGGGGCGCAGGAGAGGAAGCGGGCUGCUGGCCGCAGGACAAGUGCGUUUCAGCAGGCAAACGGCAGCGUGUGCGAGGGACUCCCCGCUCCCCACAUCCUCACCACCGACACCACCACCCUCACAUCAACAUUCACUAUGUACCAGAGAGAGAGACAUGGAGGCCACAGAGGGGAAGUAACCAGCCUCAAAUCACUCUGAAUGGCAGAGCAUGGUAUCAUGGAUUGCUGAGCUGGAAGGACCACAAUCUGGGAGCUGCUGGAAACCAUCCUGGUCAUCACAUGGGAAGAGCCUGCCUGAGAGUGAGGCCAGUAGAAGGGAAAGCAGAAAUGGGAGAGGAAGAGGGGCAGAGCCCCUUAUUGACACUGUUGAGCCCCUGGAUCUAGCCAUGCCUGAACCAGUUCUACCACUAGACUUUUCCUUACAUGACCCAAUUUUCCAUUAGACUACUUUGAGUUUCUGUUGCUUGCAUUGAUGAGUUCAGAGUCCAGCCUAACCUGACCGAGGGGGAAAUCAGAG